UGCCUUAGCCCAAAGAAAAUGGAGGAUGAG
rnacentral:piRNA from 1 species